rnacentral:misc_RNA from 1 species
CACCAAUCAAGCCUGGCUUGGUGUUGGGCCCCGGGGAGACCCGGACCCCAAAGUUCGCCGGCAGGACGACCCCAGAUCUCAGCGUUGUGGCAUCAAAACCCGCGGAGUGAGGGGCGGCCGCGCCGUCACAAAAGACAUUUUCAUGAAA